rnacentral:lncRNA from 1 species
AUAUGUAACACAUUUUGAUGUAUUAAACUAAUUAAUAAUUAUAUGCAUUGGUUAAUAAUGAUCUUCAUUACUUGUUUUGUUUUUGUUUGUUUUUUUUUGAGACAGAGUCUCGCCCUGUUGCCAGGCUGGAGUGCAGUGGCAUGGUCUCAGCUCACUGCAACCUCUGACUCACCGGUUCAAGCGAUUCUCCUGCCUCAGCCUCCUGAGUAACUGGGAUUACAGGCCUGCACCACCACACACAACUAAUUUUUGUAUUUUUAGUAGAGACAGGGUUUCACCAUGUUAGCCAGGAUGGUCUUGAUCUCCUGACCUCAUGAUCCACCCACGUUGGCCUCCCAAAGUAAUGGAAUUACAGGUGUGAGCCACCGCGCCCAGCCCAUUACUUUUAAACCUAUACCUUGGCAUUUUCUUUAAAUGGAUUUGAUGAUUUUAUUAAAUAUAUUUAACUCAACUUCUUUUAAUAUAAGACUGG